rnacentral:rRNA from 1 species
AUACGUAGGGAGCAAGCGUUGUCCGGAAUUACUGGGCGUAAAGGGUGCGUAGGCGGCUAGGCAAGUCAGAUGUGAAAUACCCAGGCUUAACUUGGGGGGUGCAUUUGAAACUGCUUGGCUUGAGUGCAGGAGAGGAAAGCGGAAUUCCUAGUGUAGCGGUGAAAUGCGUAGAUAUUAGGAGGAACACCAGUGGCGAAGGCGGCUUUCUGGACUGCAACUGACGCUGAGGCACGAAAGCGUGGGGAGCAAACAGGAUUAGAUACCCUGGUAGUCCACGCUGUAAACGAUGGAUACUAGGUGUGGGGGAGAUACAACCUCCGUGCCGGAGCAAACGCAAUAAGUAUCCCGCCUGGGGAGUACGGUCGCAAGGCUGAA